CCGCUCGCGGAAAACUGGAUAUGAUAGGAUCUGUCAAAGUUAACACCGUCGUGUGUCUUCUUCUUAUUUUUACUUGGAUUCGUCUAUAAGCAAUGAUAGGGGAAAAAUAAAAUGGCGCUUUGUUGACUGAUUGUUCACUAUCUGGAAAUCGUGGGCAUCUUAAACUUGUGUAUGUGUAAACUAACUGUAUUUUCAUUAAUUUGGUUGAAAUUUUGUUAUUUUUUUGUAUAUAAAAAAUGAUUGAAACUUGUACUUCGGAUUCUGGUGUAAUUGUGUCGUCAUUCGGAUUAGUUAUCCAAUAUAACAAGAAUUCAUGCAGCAUUUUUAAUAACCUUUUCAAGGGAGGGAGCCAUAUGUCCGGCGUCCGCAGAAUUUUGCUGGUAGCCACAAAAAAUGAUAAAAAAUGACUCCUCCUUGUCAUGAUUGACCAAACAAUAUUAUAUUUCUUAUGUUAAUAAAAAUGUUAUUUUAUGAACCAUGAUGUUUCAUUAGCAUACGCGUUCGAAUGAUCACUCUUAUUUAAAAAUUAAUAAAGAAAAACAUGGUCCAAAAACUGGCAGUAUCCACAGAUAC